GGAGGCAAAAGGACUGUCCAGACGGCGGAAGUGGUGCAAGGAGCCACGUAGGGUCGCCUAAGAAAACCCUAGGAGAAAGCCGGGCCAGCUAAGAAUGCUGAAUGAUGCUUCUUCCAUCUGAAACAUUCUCUUGCCAUCGGCGUAAGAUUUAACUUGCCUUCUCUGAGCUGACAACAUUCAGUAGUAGGUGCUGCACUGUGGAUUCUUUAUUGUCCAGAGACGGACAGCCCUUCAGUGAGAAGCCUCUGAAAAGUGAAAAGUGUGACCAAAAAAUGUGUCUCUUCUGAGUAAGUCAGAUGCUUCAUUUUGUCAGAAAAUGGCAGCUGUAGAGCGCAUCUUCUUUCCCUUCCUGCCCUGGCUGCCAGGAAUCUCCAAGCUAAAGUUACUCCUUAGGUACCGUCACCAUCUGUCUCAUCUCAGAGUCCUUACCCUCUUCC